AACGAACGCUGGCGGCAUGCCUAACACAUGCAAGUCGAACGAGACCUUCGGGUCUAGUGGCGCACGGGUGCGUAACGCGUGGGAACCUGCCCUUAGGCUCAGAAUAACUCCCCGAAAGGGGUGCUAAUACCGGAUAAUGUCUUCGGACCAAAGAUUUAUCGCCUUUGGAUGGGCCCGCGUUGGAUGAGCUAGUUGGUAGGGUAAAAGCCGACCAAGGCGACGAUCCAUAGCUGGUCUGAGAGGAUGAUCAGCCACACUGGGACUGAGAAACGGCCCAGACUCCUACGGGAGGCAGCAGUGGGGAAUAUUGGACAAUGGGCGAAAGCCUGAUCCAGCAAUGCCGCGUGAGUGAUGAAGGCCUUAGGGUUGUAAAGCUCUUUUACCCGGGAUGAUACUGACAGUACCGGGAGAAUAAGCACCGGCUAACUCCGUG
rnacentral:rRNA from 1 species